UUAAGUAAGGAAGGGCGUACGGCGAAUGCCUUGCCACUCGAAACUGAAGAAGGACGCGCCAAACUGCGAAAAGCUCCGUGAAGCUGUAAGGAAGCGAAGAAGCGGAGGUGUCCGAAUGGGGGAACCCGGCAGCAGACAUGAGCUGUCAUCUGCAGGUGAAUACAUGGCCUGCAAGAGAGGUACCCGGCGAACUGAAACAUCUAAGUAGCCGGAGGAAAAGAAAACAACAGUGAUUCCCUGAGUAGCGGCGAGCGAAAGGGGAGAAGCCCAAACCGGUUGAAGGACCGGGGUUGAAGGACCAUGACAUGGCAAGAACGAGGAUAGGAGAACGGGAUCGAAAGCCCGGCCGAAGAAGGUGAAAGCCCUGUAACCGAAAUCCGAGUAAAGCCUAAUGGGAUCCUGAGUACGGCGAGACACGAGGAAUCUUGUCGGAAGCAGGCGGGACCAUCCGCCAAGGCUAAAUAUAAACGAGUGAGCGAUAGUGAACCAGUACCGUGAGGGAAAGGUGAAAAGAACCGCGGGAGCGGAGUGAAAGAGAACCUGAAACCGUAUGCCUACAAGAAGUCAGAGCCCGUUAAGGGGUGAUGGCGUGCCUUUUGUAGAAUGAACCGGCGAGUUGCGACAGACUGCGAGGUUAAGGAGGAAAGACCGGAGCCGAAGCGAAAGCGAGUCUUAAGAGGGCGAAAGUAGGAUGUUGCAGACCCGAAACCGGGUGAUCUAGCCAUGAGCAGGUUGAAGUUGAGGUGAAACUCAAUGGAGGACCGAACCGACUACCGUUGAAAAGUUAGCGGAUGACUUGUGGCUAGGGGAGAAAUUCCAAUCGAACCCGGAGAUAGCUGGUUCUCCCCGAAAUAGCUUUAGGGCUAGCGUCGGAAAGAACCUUAGUGAAGGUAGAGCACUGAAUGUGUGAUGGCCCCAUCCCGGGGUACUGAAUACAAUCAAACUGCGAAUGUCAUUAAGGAUGUCCGGCAGUCAGACUGUGAGUGAUAAGGUCCAUGGUCAAGAGGGAAACAGCCCAGACCGCCAGUUAAGGUCCCAAAAUACAGGCUAAGUGGAAAAGGAUGUGGGGAUGCCCAGACAACUAGGAGGUUGGCUCAGAAGCAGCCAUCCUUUAAAGAGUGCGUAACAGCUCACUAGUCGAGUGACCCUGCGCCGAAAAUGUACCGGGGCUAAGCCUGAUACCGAAACUGCGGAUUGUAGGAAACUAUAGUGGUAGGGGAGCGUUGUAUACGAGCAGAAGCCGUACCGUGAGGAGCGGUGGAUUGUAUAGAAGUGAGAAUGCCGGUGUGAGUAGCGAGAUGUAGGUGAGAAUCCUACACACCGAAAGCCCAAGGAUUCCAGGGGAAGGUUCGUCCGCCCUGGGUAAGUCGGGACCUAACGCGAGGCCGAAAGGCGUAGUGGAUGGAAAGCAGGCGAAAGAUUCCUGCACCCGUAUAUGGAGCGAAGGAGUGACGGAGACGGAUAGUGUGACCCUCUUAAUGGAUUGAGGGCGAAGCGAAGCGGCUGGUUACCAGGCAAAUCCGGUAACCAAAAGGCUAGAGCGUGACAGGUAAGCGAAAUCUUCGGAAAGUAGCGAAGCACAUGAUGACGGCUUCCAGGAAAAGCUUCUGGCAAUGCAUAUGCGGCCCGUACCAAAACCGACACAGGUGGGCAGGGAGAGAAUCCCGAGGUGAGCGAGAGAACUGUUGCCAAGGAACUCGGCAAAAUGACUCCGUAAGUUAGCGAGAAGGAGUGCUUAAGCAAUUAAGCCGCAGUGAAGAGGCCCAAGCGACUGUUUAACUAAAACACAGCUCUCUGCGAAGUCGCAAGACGAAGUAUAGGGGGUGACACCUGCCCGGUGCUGGAAGGUUAAGAGGAUCUGUUAAGAGCGAUCUGAAGCAGUGAUCCGAAGCCCCAGUGAACGGCGGCCGUAACUAUAACGGUCCUAAGGUAGCGAAAUUCCUUGUCAGGUAAGUUCUGACCCGCACGAAAGGUGUAACGAUUUGGGCGCUGUCUCGGCAGCAGACUCGGUGAAAUCUUAGUACCUGUGAAAAUGCAGGUUACCCGCAACUAGACGGAAAGACCCCAUGGAGCUUUACUGCAGCCUGAUAUUGAAUUCUGGUCAUACAUGUACAGGAUAGGUGGGAGACAAAGAGACGUGCACGCCAGUGUACGAGGAGUCGACGUUGGGAUACCACUCUUGUGUGACCGGGGUUCUAACCUGGUAUCGAGAACAGGUACGGGGAGAGUGUCAGGUGGGCAGUUUGACUGGGGCGGUCGCCUCCCAAAGAGUAACGGAGGCGCCCAAAGGUACGCUCAGAUUGGAUGGAAACCAAUCGACGAGUGCAAUUGCAGAAGCGUGCUUGACUGUGAGACAGACAAGUCGAACAGGGACGAAAGUCGGGAAUAGUGAUCCGGCGGUGCCGAAUGGAAGGGCCGUCGCUCAACGGAUAAAAGCUACCCUGGGGAUAACAGGCUGAUCUCCCCCAAGAGUCCACAUCGACGGGGAGGUUUGGCACCUCGAUGUCGGCUCAUCGCAUCCUGGGGCUGUAGUCGGUCCCAAGGGUUGGGCUGUUCGCCCAUUAAAGCGGUACGCGAGCUGGGUUCAGAACGUCGUGAGACAGUUCGGUCCCUAUCUGUUGUGGGC
rnacentral:rRNA from 1 species